GAUGAACGCUGACAGAAUGCUUAACACAUGCAAGUCUUUGGCGAAGCUGUGCUUGCACAGCCUAGCAAGGCCGGCCGGGUGGUUAACGCGAAAGAAACUUGCCCUCCGUUCAGGGUUAACAGAGGAAAACGACGGAUAAGCCCGGGUAAAGUAAGGCGACUCCAUGUCAAGCCUGAGAAAAAGAGAUGCUGCAGGAGAGCCUUGCGUCCUAUUAGCUUGUUGGUGGGGUAACGGCCCACCAAGGCGAUGAUAGGUAGCCGGCCUGAGAGGGUGGACGGCCACAAGGGGACUGAGAUACGGCCCUUACUCCUACGGGAGGCAGCAGUGGGGAAUAUUGGACAAUGGGGGCAACCCUGAUCCAGCAAUUCUGUGUGCACGAUGAAGGUUUUCGGAUUGUAAAGUGCUUUCAGCAGGGAAGAAAAAAUGACGGUACCUGCAGAAGAAGCGACGGCUAAAUACGUG
rnacentral:rRNA from 1 species